AGAAGAUAAUGCUACAUGCUAAUAGGCUAGCGCUAUUGACUUUCAAGCUCCGGAUCUGACAGAUAAUGACCCGGAGAGACGCAGCCGCAACCCACAGAAAGACCCGCUCCAAAAGAUAUAUUUCCAGAAAAAAAUGGGGUCGUCUUACAUUCAAAAAG